rnacentral:sRNA from 1 species
UUUUAGCCCUGAUGGGAGCGGCAUCCUUUUGUAUCCGCCGCGGCGGAGGCAAAAGAUAAAGCAGACAGCAGGAAUAGCU